rnacentral:misc_RNA from 1 species
UUUCCGUAGGUGAACCUGCGGAAGGAUCAUUAUUGUAUAACCGAGGUGCGAGGGCUGUCGCUGACCCGAAAGGUCGUGCACGCCCGAGUGCCCUCACACACAUCCAUCCCGCCCCUAUGUGCACCACCGCGUGGGUCCCCCUUUGGCUUGUUCGGAGGGGGGCUUACGUUUUCACACAAACUUUGUAUGCAGUGUAGAAUGUAUUUUUUGUUUUUGCGAUCACGCAAUCAAUACAACUUUCAACAACGGAUCUCUUGGCUCUC